rnacentral:pre_miRNA from 1 species
CAGUGGGAGUUUGCCAACUGAGUUGAUCGAGUAACGUUGGUUCUAGUCAACGUUACUGGAUCAACUCAGUUGGCAAACUCCAAC